GGGGAUUACACAUUUCACUCUGGUGAAGCAAAAGAACAAAUCUGGCAGCAGAGGAACAAUUUAGUGUUCCCAUGCAGAUGCUGACUUUCAUUGGCAUCCUGCAUCUCAGCCUGAUGAUUUCAUUUGGCCAUCCUGAUUAACUAUUGUUUAUUGGACCACAGUUAAUGGUCUUGCCUUAAAGGUGCCUGGUUGCUAACAAAGAAGGCAUCAAGAAAAACCAGUUUCCAGUUGUCAAUUACAUUCUGGCCUCCAAGAAGAUAAACAUAGACCACUAGCCGCCCAUUGUGAAGAUUUUGUAUGACAUUUUUCACAUAAAAUGACACCUCCUUGCUGUCUUUCCAUCCAGCUGCAAAUGCUUUUUUAUUCCAACAAACUUUUGUGAAGUGAAUGUUUUAAAAGAAAUGGCUUUGGACAGGAUGUUGUACUAUUUUUAACUGUAGUGUUUUUAGUGACAUUGUUUUUAAACUGCUUUCUGUUGUUUUUAAUUGUAUGUUUUUAAUUGUUUUUAAUAUUACCAAUAGUUUUCUUCCAUUCUAAUGUUGACCUUUGUAUGUUUUAACUGUACUGUUCUAGGGAAAAGGCAGGCUAUAACUGUAAAAAUAACAUGUGCUGUGCCCUGGUAAGAGUAUAUCAAGUUUGUUGUUUUUAUUUAAAAUAUAAUUGUUCAGACCAUUUUAUUAAAUGGAAACUCACCAAGGUUUUGUCCUACAUAUGUUCAGAAUGAUCCUCUGUCAUCUAAGUUUUGAAUGUUAUAUGGAACCGGCUAGAUGUGAGAUGGUAGAAUGGAAAUGAAUAUGUCUAGUUACCAGGGUGAGACACAGAAUGCAAUGGGAAAAGGAAAUUGUGUCAAAUACAAUGAGCAGUUAGAGAGAUACAAUAACACCCAAAAUCUACAAAACAGAGAUACCUCUAUUGGGGCAACCAAAAAUGUACAAUUUUUGUGCACAAUGUACAUUUUCAAAACUCCACUGGCUUCAAA